AACAUAGAGCCAUUCGAUAAAGGAGGAGCCCAAAAAUGUUGCUCCCCAUGGCUCCUUCCCGUCGUUUACCACCCUUCUCCUCGGGAGGGCCUAGAGGUGGAGCAAAGCACCCAGUAGAGGAUGUCACGGCCAGCAGAAGGAGGCGGAGGUGGCUAGCGGGGGUGGAACGCGAUGUAGCUAGCAGAUAGAGGAGGGGCCGGAGGCAGGCCAGGCGACAACGGUGACUUCCACGUGCGCGACAGUGGCGCGGGCGCCCAGUCGGCCGGUGCAGGGAGCCAAGGGCGUAGAUGACGAGGGCACAACCGAGGGGGCUGAUGAGCACAGGGAGCUGCGGGUGGAGGUGAGGGGGCCAAUGGGUGUAGGGAAGUGGGGGCGGAGGGCGUCGGCAACCGGUGUGGGGUGGUGGGCGAUGUGCCCGACGAGGCGGUGGUCAAAGGACCAGUAUGGUGGGGAAGAGAACAAGCGGAUAAGGAAGAUUAGGGGGGAGGGUGAGAAGAAAAAAAUAGGGAUAGGAAAGAAAAAAAGAAAAAUGUAUUAAAAAUAAAAGGGAAUUAUAGCAACCUACUCAUUAUUGGUUAACCUAAUUUCUAUUCAUUAUUUGUUCAUUUCAUAUAACAAAUCACAUUAUAAUUUAGGGCAAAAAUAAACUCAUGUGUACAACCAAAUCACAUUGCUAAGGGCAUAUAGGACCUCUUACAUCCAUUCACAAAAAUACAGAAGGCUUUAGCUUCACUAGAGGAGCCACAACUGCAGCUGUUUU
rnacentral:lncRNA from 1 species